rnacentral:tRNA from 1 species
GCAUUGACGGUUUAGUGGUAGAAUUCUUACCUUCCAUGCAGAAGACCCAGGUUUGAUUCCAGGCCAAUGCA